rnacentral:rRNA from 1 species
UACGAAGGGGGCUAGCGUUGCUCGGAAUCACUGGGCGUAAAGCGCACGUAGGUGGGUCGUUAAGUCGGGGGUGAAAUCCUGGAGCUCAACUCCAGAACUGCCUUCGAUACUGGCGAUCUUGGAGUCCGGGAGAGGUGAGUGGAACUGCGAGUGUAGAGGUGAAAUUCGUAGAUAUUCGCAAGAACACCAGUGGCGAAGGCGGCUCACUGGCCCGGUACUGACGCUGAGGUGCGGAAGCGUGGGGAGCAAACAGG